GAUGAACGCUGCGGCAGCCUAACACAUGCAAGUCGAGCGGUAACAGAUCUAGCUUGCUGGAUGCUGACGAGCGGCGGACGGGUGAGUAAUGCAUAGGAAUCUGCCCGAUAGUGGGGGAUAACCUGGGGAAACCCAGGCUAAUACCGCAUACGUCCUACGGGAGAAAGGGGGCUCCGGCUCCCGCUAUGGGAUGAGCCUAUGUCGGAUUAGCUAGUUGGUGAGGUAACGGCUCACCAAGGCCACGAUCCGUAGCUGGUCUGAGAGGAUGAUCAGCCACAUCGGGACUGAGACACGGCCCGAACUCCUACGGGAGGCAGCAGUGGGGAAUAUUGGACAAUGGGGGCAACCCUGAUCCAGCCAUGCCGCGUGUGUGAAGAAGGCCCUCGGGUUGUAAAGCACUUUCAGCGAGGAAGAACGCCUAGCGGUUAAUACCCGCUAGGAAAGACAUCACUCGCAGAAGAAGCACCGGCUAACUCCGUGCCAGCAGCCGCGGUAAUACGGAGGGUGCAAGCGUUAAUCGGAAUUACUGGGCGUAAAGCGCGCGUAGGUGGCUUGAUAAGCCGGUUGUGAAAGCCCCGGGCUCAACCUGGGAACGGCAUCCGGAACUGUCAAGCUAGAGUGCAGGAGAGGAAGGUAGAAUUCCCGGUGUAGCGGUGAAAUGCGUAGAGAUCGGGAGGAAUACCAGUGGCGAAGGCGGCCUUCUGGACUGACACUGACACUGAGGUGC
rnacentral:rRNA from 1 species